GUGCUCGCUGUCACAGCACAUAUACUGGAACUGGAACCAAAGAGAGAUAAGUCUGGCUCCCGCUCAAGGAUGAUGUGCCAGCUCAUGAAUGCUCUGUAUUUUUU
ensembl:snRNA U6 U6 spliceosomal RNA